rnacentral:rRNA from 1 species
GACGAACGCUGGCGGCGUGCUUAACACAUGCAAGUCGAACGGAAAGGCCCUGCCUUUGUGGGGUGCUCGAGUGGCGAACGGGUGAGUAACACGUGAGUAACCUGCCCUUGACUUUUGGAUAACUUCAGGAAACUGGGGCUAAUACCGGAUACGAGCUCCUGCUGCAUGGUGGGGGUUGGAAAGGUUCGGCGGUUGGGGAUGGACUCGCGGCUUAUCAGCUUGUUGGUGGGUUAGUGGCUUACCAAGGCUUUGACGGGUAGCCGGCCUGAGAGGGUGACCGGCCACAUUGGGACUGAGAUACGCCCCAGACUCCUACGGGAGGAAGCAGUGGGGAAUAUUGCCAAAUGGGCGGGAGCCUGAUGCAGCAACGCCGCGUGCGGGAUGACGGCCUUCGGGUUGUAAACCGCUUUCGCAUGUGACGAAGCGUGAGUGACGGUAAUGGGUAAAGAAGCACCGGCUAACUACGUG